ACGAAACUCGGGCGCGGCCUCGCGGGGAGGGAGCGGCUGUGCUGGCGGGGCGACCCGCACGUGCACGCCUCUUUCCGACCCCGGCCCGCUCAUCCACACACCGACACCUGUGAACACCGAUCUUCGUCGGGCGGGGCCCCCCCGGGCCUCCCCGGCGUCGACCUUCUCUCACAUCAUCCUUUGCAUGUCUUGUCGAAUGUACACUUGCGUAACCGCAACCGAAAUA
rnacentral:misc_RNA from 1 species